rnacentral:rRNA from 1 species
UGAGUGAUGAAGGCCUUAGGGUUGUAAAGCUCUUUUACCAGGGAUGAUAAUGACAGUACCUGGAGAAUAAGCUCCGGCUAACUCCGUGCCAGCAGCCGCGGUAAUACGGAGGGAGCUAGCGUUGUUCGGAAUUACUGGGCGUAAAGCGCGCGUAGGCGGCUUUUCAAGUCAGGGGUGAAAUCCCGGGGCUCAACCCCGGAACUGCCCUUGAAACUGGAUGGCUAGAAUACUGGAGAGGUGAGUGGAAUUCCGAGUGUAGAGGUGAAAUUCGUAGAUAUUCGGAAGAACACCAGUGGCGAAGGCGACUCACUGGACAGUUAUUGACGCUGAGGUGCG